rnacentral:rRNA from 1 species
CAGCAGUAGAGAAUCUUGUGCAAUGCACGAAAGUAUGACACAGAGAGGACACAUUUAAUUGAGCCCGUCAAAUUAAGUGCCAGCCGACGCGGUUAGACUUAAGGGCUGGUCUUUAUAAGUAAAAAGGCGUAAAGGAUGUGUAGGCCAAGAAAUUAUCCAAGAAGGUAAAUGGAAUUUUUCUGGAGCGGUAAAAUGUGAGGAUAGAAAAUAGAACACCUAAGGUUAAAACUAUUUACCACAAAAUAGGCUGAAACAUGAGAGUGUGGGGAGCAAACAGGAUUAGAGACCCUGGUAGUCCACUCUGUGAACUUUGAAGAUUAUGUUUAGCAGACCCGAAAGGUAAAAUCUUCCGCCUGAGUAGUACGAUCGCAAGAUUAAAAUUCAAAAACUUUGGCUGUUCACUAUUUCGAUUAGAGGAGCGUGUAGUUUAAUUCGAUGGUCCGCGUGUUACCUUACCCCAGCUUGAAUCUAUGACCGGUAUUGCAUGGCCGUCGUAAGUCCGUGUGUCAAACUAGAAGGGACCCAAUCCGGGCGUUUGCCCGAAGGAAGUCAGGUCUUAUGAUCCGAAUGUUGGGGGAUUUUAUGCGCUACAUUUUCUUAUAUAAUGAGAGACUUGAAAGGUAAGCCUCUAAAGUAAGAGUCCGGAAGGUCGCUGUAAAACGACUGGAAGUUGGAUUUAAUAGUAAUCGGAAAGUAGGGCGUUCCGGUGAAUUGGUACAAGUGUUAGCACAAAUUGCCCGUCACCUUUAUCUAGAAUGGUUAU